rnacentral:rRNA from 1 species
UAUGGAAUCUUCGGCAAUGGGGGCAACCCUGACCGAGCAACGCCGCGUGAGUGAAGAAGGUUUUCGGAUCGUAAAGCUCUGUUGUAAGAGAAGAACGUGUGUGAGAGUGGAAAGUUCACACAGUGACGGUAACUUACCAGAAAGGGACGGCUAACUACGUGCCAGCAGCCGCGGUAAUACGUAGGUCCCGAGCGUUGUCCGGAUUUAUGGGGCGUAAAGCGAGCGCAGGCGGUUUAAUAAGUCUGAAGUUAAAGGCAGUGGCUUAACCAUUGUUCGCUUUGGAAACUGUUAAACUUGAGUGCAGAAGGGGAGAGUGGAAUUCCAUGUGUAGCGGUGAAAUGCGUAGAUAUAUGGAGGAACACCGGUGGCGAAAGCGGCUCUCUGGUCUGUAACUGACGCUGAGGCUCGAAAGCGUGGGGAGCAAACAGG